GACGAACGCUGGCGGCGUGCUUAACACAUGCAAGUCGAACGAAGUGGCGAACGGGUGAGUAACGCGUAAUCAACCUGCCCUUCAGAGGGGGACAACAGUUGGAAACGACUGCUCAUACCGCAUACUGAAGGAGGGGCUUGCGUCUGAUUAGCUAGUUGGAGGGGUAACGGCCCACCAAGGCGAUGAUCAGGAGCCGGGCGGAGAGGAUGAACGGCAAAAUUGGGACUGAGACACGGCCCCGGCUCCUACGGGAGGCAGCAGUGGGGAAUCGUCCGGAAUGGACGAAAGGCUGACGGGGCAACGGCCCGUGGGGGAUGGCGGCCUUCGGGUUGUAAAGCUCUUUUAGUCGGGACGCGGUACCGGAAUAGAAAGCCACGGCUAACUACGUGCCAGCAGCCGCGGUAAUUC
rnacentral:rRNA from 1 species